rnacentral:rRNA from 1 species
AGAAUGAACGCUGGCGGCGUGCUUAACACAUGCAAGUCGAACGGAAUCCAAGGAGCUUGCUCUGGAAGAUUUAGUGGCGAACGGGUGAGUAUCACGUGAGCAACCUGCCCCGAAGACUGGGAUAACACCGGGAAACCGGUGCUAAUACCGGAUACCUUCCAAUGACCGCAUGGUCGAUGGAAGAAAUGUUUUUCGCUUCGGGAGGGGCUCGCGGUCCAUCAGCUUGUUGGCGGGGUAACGGCCACCAAGGCUUCGACGGAUAGCUGGUCUGAGAGGACGAUCAGCCACACUGGGACUGAGACACGGCCCAGACUCCUACGGGAGGCAGCAGUGGGGAAUCUUGCGCAAUGGGCGAAAGCCUGACGCAGCAACGCCGCGUGGAGGACGAAUGCUUUCUGAGUUGUAAACUCCUUUCAGCAGGGACGAUUGUGACGGUACCUGCAGAAGAAGCACCGGCCAACUACGUGCCAGCAGCCGC